rnacentral:lncRNA from 1 species
AAGCACUGAAGCUAUUCUUUAAGAAGAUAUGAAAUGUAACUCCUAACCUUCAAAGGCUUUCAGAGUUCGGAGGGCUCAAAUUUUGGACUUGUGGGACUGGAGCUGUGUGUGUGUAGAUUUAGGAUAUAGAAGUUUAGAGCUCAGGACAGAUUUUUGAUCUGAAAAUAUAGACAUUAGAGUUACAGGGAUACAGAGUUAAUGAAAUAACUUGCAUGAAAGAUAUGCCUAGAAAUAGAUUCUAGAUUGAGAAGUGGAAAGAACUGAGGACAGACACUAGAAACACCAACAUUCAAGAGGCAGGAGAGGGAAGAUAAGCCAGUCUGAGACUGAAAAGAAAUAAGCGGAAAGUUUGGAUGGGAACUCAGAGCAGCAGCACAAGGAGUAGAGCAUUCUCAAAAGGAGGACAGUGUCAAAUGACUCAGGAGGGAUGCCAAAGAUAAGGAGUGAACAGUGUCAAUCGAAUUUAGCAAUUAUGUCUCCAGUGGCCUUGGUGAGAGCACUUUUUGUGUCACUGCAUUGAGGAAGCCAAACACUGGUACACUAAUAUUCUUGCUUUGCAUGUUGGUUAUUGUAAAGGAAGCAGAAAAGAAACAGUUGGAUAUUUGAAUUAUUCCUUCUCAGACAGGACAUUACAGCACACCAGAGCAUUGAAAAGAUGAUGUUCAUGUGUCUAGACUUCUGUCUCUCAAUUCUCUGCUCUCUUUUCCCCCAUGUGAACACAAUCAUAGUCUCCUAAUUUUGAUCAAAAUGCAUGGCAGUCAUCGCUCCAUUAUCCUCUUUCUCCUUCACUCAAGUCCCUGAGCCCCUUAUUCCUUUCCAGUUCCACCUCUCCCCUUCAAGUUGCCAGAAAGAGUGGUCCCUGUCCACCACUUCCACUUCUUUACACUCUUUCCUCUCCUGUCAUCUUCAUGCACCCAGGAAUCUGGUCCUGAUAGGAGGGGGAAGUUUAGAGUGCUAGAACAGGAAGGGCCUAGAGUAUGAUCACCAGGCUUCUUAGCCAGAUGCUAUUAAUUUCCCCAAUGAGAAUGACACUAAAAUAUCUCUGAAAUAUUUGCUCCUUUAUGUCCAUGGCUGCAGAUGCAGUUCAUUCGCUCUUUGAUAUAAUGACCUACCUGGUCCCCUCCCCUGAGAUGGCCCUUACAGCCAUCUUACACCUGCUCACAGCUGCAGGCAUUUGGCUGCUUUCUGUAGGCCAUGGCUGUUCUGCCUGUGGCUUAUUGGGAAAAGAGAAUGCUGGUGGAAGCGUUUUGGAUUUGGAUUUGAGUAGCUCUCUCUUUCAGUGAACUAGGCUUCUUUCUUUCUCCCUGCCUUGUACUAGAAUUCUUGAAACAUAAUCCCCUUCUCUGCUUCCUAUUCCUCAGUGCCUGAUUUGUUACCUGGCUACAUCAGACAGGAAUUCCAAUUGGCUGCUUGUAACCAAAGUAGGAAAUAACAGUGGUUUAAAUAAAAGUUUUUCUGUCACAUAAAAAGCAUCCAAAGUAGAUAGUCCCAGACUGUUCAAUGGCUCCUCAGUAGUCAGAGACCAAGAUGGGUUCUUACUGGAACACCAGCCUUAGCACUGGUUUCUAUUUUCUCCCUCCCUUCCUUCCUUCCUUCCUUCCUUCCUCCCUUCCUCCCAUUCUUUCCUUUCUUUCUCUCCCUCCCUCUUUCUUUCUUUCUCUCUUGUCAGGGUCUCGCUCUGUCACCCAGGCUGGAGUGUAGUGCUGCAAUCACAGCUCAUUAUAGCCUCGAAGUCCUGCAAGCAAUCCUCUUGCCUCAGCCUCCUGAGUGGCUAGGACCAGAGGUGCACACCACCAUACCCAACUAAUUAAUUUAACUUUUUGUAACCUGGCCUCAAGUGAUCCUCCUGCCUCAGUCUCCCAAAGCACUGGGAUUACAGGUGUAAGCCACCACUCCUGGCCUUUGUUUUCAUUUUCAAGCUUGCCUCCUGGCCCAAAUUGUCUGUUGAAGCUCCAGCCAUCAGGGUUGUCUUCCAAGGAAAAAACUGGAGAAAGGGGGAAAGCAGGCAAAAGGCAUAAAGCAGUCAUUUGUCCUCUUUUUACAGAACGUUCCAGAGAUUUCCAUCUAGAAACUUACACUUGUAUUUCAUUGGCUAAAAAUUAGUCAUAUGGCCAAACUUUGCUGUGCUAACAGAAUGAAACCAGGGUUCUAAGUAAAAAGGAAACAGUAGAUUUUGGGUGGGGAACUAGCAGCCUCUAACAGAAUUAUUCAGCUUAGAAACUUGCCAUUUUCAUUAUAUCCUCCUUCUUUCCCUGAACCAGUGUCCUGUCUUAUCUCUCUGACUUGAUAUCUCCUGAUAGAUUUCUCUACAUCUGCCUGCCUGCUGACCACUCACCUGGGCCUCCAAACACAGUCUGCUUCAAAUGUUUCUAUUGCUAUGUUUAUCGACAUAAUUGUUCAAUUGCUUGAUUUCUCCUUAUUGACCUUCCAGGCUGUUGACACCAGGCUCAGAUUACUUUGUCUAUUAAUUCCUGGUAAACAGUACUUUCUAGUACUGCCAAAGAUGCUUACAGUUCCCCUGGGGAGGGGGAGAUAAGCAUAUUACACAAGAGGUAAGUGUGGAAAAGGGGCCAGGACAAUUAGUCAUUAGUUCAUCUGGUUGAAACACAUCUACUCCUGGGCAAGAGCUCCUUACCCUGCUUGAACUGCAGCAUCUUCCUCUCUUCUCCUCCCUUGUCUAUUCAGUCAUGAUUUCUAGAAUACGCCCUGUACUUAAGAUUUUCAUUCUCAACUUGAUAACUGGAUUGCAACCUUCAUACAUUUCUCCUCUUGGUAGACUUCUUGCCUCAGAAUCAUUUUCUGACUGUAAGUCUUCAGUCUUCAAAGUCCUCUUGAAAUUAUGUUUUCUUGACUUUCUCCUUCACUUGGUCUAUCAGACACCUAUUUUCAUUAGUAGCAUUUCCAGGCUUUACCCUGAGACUGACGAUAAACAAGUUUGUUUACUUCUAGUGGUUCGUUAGAGCAGGCUUGUAUUGGCUUGGGAGAGCUGUUUGUUAAAAACAAAAUAAUUAUAAAAAUAUAACUUGUUAAAGUGUUGGUAGCUUGAAAUUAGCCAUGGUGGGAGUAUGUACCACAUGGAAAUUGGCAAACACUAUUAAUCAGGGCUUUCUUUUUUCCCGAAAGGGUGUCUACCAGCACGCCAUUGCUUGUUUCACCCCGUCAUUACCCCCUGAAUGCGCGCGCACGCACACACACACACACACACCCACACGACACUUCUCAUCCCAGAUCCUUAUCUCUUCAGCCUACCUUAGCCUCCAGCUUACAGAUAACCCUUCCACACUCAGCUAUAGCCAGUGAUUCAACAUUUCAUAAUGGAAUAUAUAUUUUGAAAAUACAUCCUGGACCCUAAAGACUUUUCCAAGACUGCUGACCACGCUAUUUGAGAACUGCUAAUGUAGUCCAUCUGUCUGCCUUCAGAACACAUGUAAUCAUAUGGAGGAAUCAUUUGCUGGGGAAAAACCUACAUCCUGGUAUUUCAGUAGAAGGAAUUUAUUGAUCAACAUCAGAGAUGACUCAUCACAGAAUAUUAACUUCUGUGAAGUUAAUAUUGGGUGAAAGAUGACCAAUUAAUGAUUACAGGUAUUUCAGAAAGCCUGGUGCAAGCUGUGCAAUAAUCAAGCUGCAUGAGCCAACCAAAACGUCAAGAUGCUUUGCCUUUGACAGGAAUUGUAUCAAUUCACAUCAUGCCAUUACCUCUUAUUGAUCAGGACCUCCGUUCCACGUGUCUUCGAUUAAUAACAAUGAAAAAUGAAUUAAUUAUUACUUAUAAUUACAGUAUUUUAGUAAACAAAAUCAUUCAACUCAUGGAAGAAAAAUAAUAAAAAAGAUUAUGAAAGCC